rnacentral:rRNA from 1 species
UAACGCGAAGAACCUUACCAGGUCUUGACAUACUAUGCAAAUCUAAGAGAUUAGACGUUCCCUUCGGGGACAUGGAUACAGGUGGUGCAUGGUUGUCGUCAGCUCGUGUCGUGAGAUGUUGGGUUAAGUCCCGCAACGAGCGCAACCCUUAUUAUCAGUUGCCAGCAUUAAGUUGGGCACUCUGGUGAGACUGCCGGUGACAAACCGGAGGAAGGUGGGGAUGACGUCAAAUCAUCAUGCCCCUUAUGACCUGGGCUACACACGUGCUACAAUGGAUGGUACAACG